UGGUUGGUACAAUUUUUUGUAAGAUUGGUGCGCUUUUGUUUAUGCUUAGUAACGGUUAACCGUUUCUUUUUUUUGUUUUAACUUUUGCUUUUUUGAAUUAAUUAACUGUUUUAAUUAAUAGACUAUGAUGACAAUGUUUGUCUUAAUUUAUCCUAAUUUUGUCAUCACAUCAGUUUGUCAUCUUCUUUUCUCAUCCAUUCCAGUCUUCCUGUUGGAUAAUCAUUUUCCCUGGCUUACCAUUUUGGCGCAUCACCUUUAAUGCUGCUAUUGUUGUUUUUAUUUUUUUCAUCUUCUUUCUCAUGACCCUACAACUUUGGAUGUAUGGACUGGCAGCAUGAACCCAGAAAAGACAUUGGAUAAUCUUAAGGGUUAUACAAGGAUAAAAGAAACGCUUAAACCAUCAACUGAUUAUGAUUAGAAUGAUGAGUUGAUGAUGGGAAGUGUGUAACUUUCAAGUGGACAUAAGUUUAUUGUUAUACAGUCGAGAUUCAAUCAGUUAUGGUGUACAAGGAGAAAGACCAAAAAAAGGUUGAAUGAAAACAGAAUUGUUUCCAUCAAAAAGACAGCUACAGUUGACGAAGAUAAUGAUAGUGAUAAGUUUGUUGUACACUAUUAUUUGAGAUUGUUCAUCUUCAAUGGUUAAUCGUUUAGAUCAACAAACUGACCUCAAAUUGAUUAUCCCGUUGGCCUUUUUAUUUCUCCUCUCUUUUACCCUUACAAUGGUAAAGGGUAAAUAUUGGCUAUUUACUCCUUUUUUGCCUUCCUUCCUAUCGUCACCACUAUCAUCCUGGUCAUCAUCAUUUGUCAUUAUCAAUUGUCCAAUCGCGCUCAAAUCAAUAUUAAAAGCUGAAUCAUGAUUAAACUUGGACUCGGAGCUUCUAUAUUGAAACUAUUUGUUUGGUGGAAUUUAAAAUUAGAUUAAUGUUUACACUUGAUGGUUACCAUUAUUAUCAACACAAAAAUCAACAGCAAGGUAAAGAAAAUCAAAAAUUGUUAUCUUCCUAUCAAGGCCACCCUGAUUGAAUUAACUGAAAAAUCAAUUGUUGAAAUUAAAAUUGAUAUAAGAUUGUAAUAUAAUCAGGUUGAAAUGAUUUAACAAGAGUAAGAAAGAUUAUUUGGAAGACCAGAUAACCAUUAAUCAUCAACCUGAGAAGAUAUUCAAGAAGACGAUGGUGAAGAUAUUGAUGCUACUGAUGAAGAUGAUGAUGAUGAUGGCGUAAGCAAAGUAAAAAAGCAAGGAGAAAAAUGGCCAAAUAUAAUGAUCUUUUCAUAGACAGAAGAUAACUAAUGGGAUGAAAAUGCAUUAAAUAAUGGUCAAAGUGAAAAGUCAACUGGCCCUCCUCAUUCUUCUCGUUCUCAUCUUAUCCUCCUCAUCUUAAUUUUCAUCUUUCUUCAUCAACUCACAACAGGCAAAGGAAAAGAAGGAGAAGAAAAAAUUAUCAAUAUUUUUCAACUUUUUACAACAGAUUAAUUGAAGUGUUCAGAGGCUCCUGUAAGAGAGAAGGCAACAAAUUUGAAGUGAAGAGAUGAUGAUAAAGAAGGAAUAAGUGAUAAUGAUUAGUGAAAGAAGAGAGAGAAAGUAAAGAGUUUACCUUGUUAAUAAUUGAAAGUUUCACUGGAGCAAUUAUCAUUUCUAUUAAUUCAAUUAAUUUACCUCGCAAAGGUUGUACUCGCUCUGGACCGGCUAGCCUGCUACAGCAUUGUAAAAGCAGGGAGAUUCUUAAAUCUCCGAAGAUGGCGUUACCAAAUUUGACAAUCUUUGAACAAUUUUUCUUUUCCUUCAAAUUAUGAUGAUAAUUCAUUUUAAAAUGAACAUUUUUUACCUGUUUUUUGCUCCUUUUUCUCACUCUCUCUAGUUCUAUCUCUCUUGCUCUUUAAUGUUAAAUUAGAAGCUGUAAAAUAAAUAAUCAUAAUGAUAAUGAUAAUAACAUUACAAAUGUAAUAAAUCUUACCACGACAAUGAUGAUUAUCACUAACUUUACCUGGCCUAACCCUAAGUCUUUCAAGCACAAAACCAAUGUUGCUAACAGGUACAAAAAAACACACACAGAGAUAUUCACAUUAAAGGUACAUUAAGGCACAAAUGUGUUUAGUAUUAAUUGAAUAAAUUGUAUAUGCGAAAUAAAUUGUUACAAAUCUUUGUUUUCAUCUUUUCUCUUUCACUGUUUCAGUGUAAAAUUAAACAUGGCGCGCAAAAUAAAACCGUCAUAAUGACAAUAACACUUUACAUUACAUUUUUAAACACUACAUUUUUUGUUAACAUUACAUUUGAUUAAACUAGUCUUUCGUGAUUAUGUUGAUGAUAAUGAUCAAGAUGAUUGUGAUGACCAGGAAGAUGUGUGUAUUUAUACAUUGUUCAUGCUUGUCACGGCUACUUAAACCCAUUCCAUCUUUACCUCUUAACUCUUACUCUUUUACUGUCGCUGUUGUCAUUUGUUUCUCAACAGUUUUUUCAAAUCUUAUAUAAAAGGUGUAAUGAACGUUUAACAUUUUGCCUCAAAUUAACUACUAAUGAAGGUACUAAUGUAGAUCAUCAUCAACUUAUGAACACACACACAAUUAAAGUUAAUUACGAGGUGUAUCAUAUGUAUAUUUAUGUGUUAAGGGAAAAAAAAGGAUUUAAUGUGGGGAGACAAUUUGUUGUUGCUGUUGUUGUUGCUGUUACCUCUUUUGUUUAACCUGGUAAAGGUAACAUUCAAACAAACAAUGAAAGCAUAAUUGUUGACUCUGGCUUUACCUCUCUUUUAAUGUUUAUCAAGCAAGCAAAGCAACCUUUUAUACAUUCUUCUGGUUUUAUAUGGAUGUAAUGGCAAGCAAUCAUCAUUCGUUAAUGAUUAUAAUUAUCCAAAGAUUAUAAUUAAAAGACCAGUGGAUAGUUUGAUUAACAUUUCACCCAUGAGAUGGUUUCUUAAUCAGUUACAUUGUCUUGGCCAAGUCUAUCAAUGUUUAAUGUACAAGUAACAAGUUUCAUCUCCCAGCCGGUCAAUUGUGUACAUCUAUUGUGCUUUUCAUAUAAAAUAUGGAUGUCAAGCAUAGCUCUUCGAGUGACUGCAUAAUAUUGCUGAAAAUAUUUGAUGUAAUACUUUAACUGCUUCAAUUAUUUUGAAUUAUGAGUUAUUCAACAAACAAAUCUUCUCUCUCCAGGCUUAACCAACUGCUCAAAUCAUAUUAAUGCAUCGCUAUUUAAUCGUCUUUUCAAGUCUUUACAUGGAUCAGGCUAAAUCUUGACCAGAACUGAGAGUCGCCAAAAUGUUGUGACUACCAGUGAACUUGAGGAUAACAUAUGGGAUGAUUGAGCUGUUCACCUUACCUUAAAAUCUGAAUGAUUCCUAAUCAGCAAAUUAAGCGACUUUGGAUUAUCAUUAAUUCAGUUAUUACCAUUCCAUCCAUCAUAAUUAUGUACCAUCUGAUAGGGAAUCAAAGUCUUAUUAAGAUCAUGAGACGAUUAGUGUAAUUACUUCGCUAUGAUAACAGCAAUGGAAACAAUGUUUGAUUAAUCUGACUAUAUUAAUGUAACAAUACAAGUUAUUGUUACACGUUUAAAGUCAAAUAUUUUGAUCAAUUUUAAUGAUGAAUCGAUAGCACAUAAAUCAAUCAAUAUUAUUGUUUUUUAGUAUCAAUUUAACGAGUUAAUACAACAUUCAAUUUGAUUUAUAAGUAUUGAUGAACAAUGUUUAAUUUGUAGGUAAAAAAGUAUUAGGCCUACAAUUAACUUGAACAACUCAAACCGCCCAUUAAAACCUCCCAAUUUCAUGUAAACAACAGCAUCUUCAACCAAUUUUAGGUAUUUUUCAACUAA